GUCUAAGUACAUACCUUAAAACAGUGAAACCGCGAAUGGCUCAUUACAUAAGCUUUGGUUCCUUAGAUGAUAUAUACUGCAUGGAUAACUGUAGUAAUUCUAGUGCUAAUACAUGCAAUUAUGCCCUGACUCACAAGGAAACGGGUGCAUUUAUUAUAACAGAACCAACCAUCACUGGUCACGACUUCUCACUAGAACUCCGGGCAACUUCGUCCUGCAGACAGUCACUAGGAUGAGCAUCAGACUAACUUUCAAGAGUUAGUUUGUGGGGAUUUGAUUUAUUUCAAGUUCAAUCAUGUAUUGAUAUAAAUCAGUUCAGAG
rnacentral:ncRNA from 1 species